rnacentral:rRNA from 1 species
AGUGUGAAUUGCAGAAUUCAGUGAAUCAUCGAAUCUUUGAACGCACAUUGCGCCCCUUGGUAUUCCAUGGGGCAUGCCUGUUCGAGCGUCAUUUGUACUCUCAAGCCUUGCUUGGUGUUGGGUGUUUGUCUCGCCCUGCUCAGACUCGCCUUAAAUAUAUUGGCAGCCG